rnacentral:rRNA from 1 species
GACGAACGCUGGCGGCGUGCUUAACACAUGCAAGUCGUACGGUAAGGCCCUUUCGGGGGUCCACGAGUGGCGAACGGGUGAGUAACACGUGAGUAACCUGCCCACAACUUUGGGAUAACGCUAGGAAACUGGUGCUAAUACUGGAUAUGUGCUCCUGCUGCAUGGUGGGGGUUGGAAAGCUCCGGCGGUUGUGGAUGGACUCGCGGCCUAUCAGCUUGUUGGUGGGGUAGUGGCCUACCAAGGCGGCGACGGGUAGCCGGCCUGAGAGGGUGACCGGCCACAUUGGGACUGAGAUACGGCCCAGACUCCGACGGGAGGCAGCAGUGGGGAAUAUUGCACAAUGGGCGCAAGCCUGAUGCAACAACGCCGCGUGCGGGAUGACGGCCUUCGGGUUGUAAACCGCUUUCAGCAGGGACGAAGCUUUUUGUGACGGUACCUGCAGAAGAAGCACCGGCUAACUACGUG